rnacentral:rRNA from 1 species
UACAGAGGGGGCAAGCGUUGUUCGGAAUUACUGGGCGUAAAGGGCGCGUAGGCGGCCUGCUAAGUCGAACGUGAAAUCCCUGGGCUCAACCCAGGAACUGCGUCCGAUACUGGAUGGCUUGAGUUUGGGAGAGGGAUGCGGAAUUCCAGGUGUAGCGGUGAAAUGCGUAGAUAUCUGGAGGAACACCGGUGGCGAAGGCGGCAUCCUGGACCAACACUGACACUGAGGAGCGAAAGCCAGGGGAGCAAACGGG